rnacentral:rRNA from 1 species
GACGAACGCUGGCGGCGUGCUUAACACAUGCAAGUCGAACGGAAAGGCCCUGCUUUUGUGGGGUGCUCGAGUGGCGAACGGGUGAGUAACACGUGAGUAACCUGCCCUUGACUUUGGGAUAACUUCAGGAAACUGGGGCUAAUACCGGAUAGGAGCUCCUGCUGCAUGGUGGGGGUUGGAAAGUUUCGGCGGUUGGGGAUGGACUCGCGGCUUAUCAGCUUGUUGGUGGGGUAGUGGCUUACCAAGGCUUUGACGGGUAGCCGGCCUGAGAGGGUGACCGGACACAUUGGGACUGAGAUACGGCCCAGACUCCUACGGGAGGCAGCAGUGGGGAAUAUUGCACAAUGGGCGGAAGCCUGAUGCAGCAACGCCGCGUGCGGGUUGACGGCCUUCGGGUUGUAAACCGCUUUCGCCUGUGACGAAGCGUGAGUGACGGUAAUGGGUAAAGAAGCACCGGCUAACUACGUG